UGGGGAAUUUUGGACAAUGGGCGCAAGCCUGAUCCAGCCAUGCCGCGUGCGGGAAGAAGGCCUUCGGGUUGUAAACCGCUUUUGUCAGGGAAGGAAUCUUCUGAGUUAAUACCUCGGGGAGGAUGACGGUACCUGAAGAAUAAGCACCGGCUAACUACGUGCCAGCAGCCGCGGUAAUACGUAGGGUGCAAGCGUUAAUCGGAAUUACUGGGCGUAAAGCGUGCGCAGGCGGUUUUGUAAGACAGAGGUGAAAUCCCCGGGCUCAACCUGGGAACUGCCUUUGUGACUGCAAGGCUUGAGUGCGGCAGAGGGGGAUGGAAUUCCGCGUGUAGCAGUGAAAUGCGUAGAUAUGCGGAGGAACACCGAUGGCGAAGGCAAUUCCCCUGGGCCUGCACUGACGCUCAUGCACGAAAGCGUGGGGAGCAAACAGGAUUAGAUAGCCCUGGUAGCCCACGCCCUAAAACCGAUGUCCAAACUGGUUGUUGGGAAGGUUCCUUCUCAGUAACGUAGCUAACGCGUGAAG
rnacentral:rRNA from 1 species